rnacentral:rRNA from 1 species
GAUGGAUUGGUGCCUUCGGGAACUGUGAGACAGGUGCUGCAUGGCUGUCGUCAGCUCGUGUUGUGAAAUGUUGGGUUAAGUCCCGCAACGAGCGCAACCCUUAUCCUUUGUUGCCAGCGGUCCGGCCGGGAACUCAAAGGAGACUGCCAGUGAUAAACUGGAGGAAGGUGGGGAUGACGUCAAGUCAUCAUGGCCCUUACGACCAGGGCUACACACGUGCUACAAUGGCAUAUACAAAGAGAAGCGACC